UGGGGAAUUUUGGACAAUGGGCGAAAGCCUGAUCCAGCAAUGCCGCGUGUGUGAAGAAGGCCUUCGGGUUGUAAAGCACUUUUGUCCGGAAAGAAAUCCUUGGCUCUAAUACAGUCGGGGGAUGACGGUACCGGAAGAAUAAGCACCGGCUAACUACGUGCCAGCAGCUGCGGUAAUACGUAGGGUGCAAGCGUUAAUCGGAAUUACUGGGCGUAAAGCGUGCGCAGGCGGUUUGCUAAGACCGAUGUGAAAUCCCCGGGCUCAACCUGGGAACUGCAUUGGUGACUGGCAGGCUAGAGUAUGGCAGAGGGGGGUAGAAUUCCACGUGUAGCAGUGAAAUGCGUAGAGAUGUGGAGGAAUACCGAUGGCGAAGGCAGCCCCCUGGGCCAAUACUGACGCUCAUGCACGAAAGCGUGGGGAGCAAACAGGAUUAGAUACCCUGGUAGUCCACGCCCUAAAACGAUGUCAACUAGUUGUUGGGGGAUUCAUUUCCUUAGUAACGUAGCUAACGCGUGAAGUUGACCGCCUGGGGAGUACGGUCGCAAGAUUAAAACUUAAAUGAAUUGACGGGGUCAUAGCUGUUUCCU
rnacentral:rRNA from 1 species